UGUGUGUGAAAGAACAGAACCAACCAAUGACGCCGCUGACUUAUUCCAGGACAAAUCAACCUAGUGGGGAUUUGCCCAACUCUAAAGAUACCCUCAGUGGCCGGCCACGUGCAGAGCCCUAGGCAGGCAAAGGAAGCGUGCCGGGAAGGAGAGGUUCCUGCUUGAGUCCCUGCGGCUGGUCCCCAUGCUCUAAGCGAUCCCAGCCCUGAUGGGCCCUGAGUGCCCUGCAAAGGGCUGUGCUCUCCAGCCACGAGGACACUUUCAAACCGAUGGCAGGGACUUAAAUGAAGUGUUUAAAAAUUCAACUUACCUUUAAAUGGGCAAAUAUUAUCAUAUAGUUUAGUAUUUUGUCCCAUUCAGUCUUUUUUCACCCUAUCUUGGGGAAGGCAUCAAUCUAGUGGUGAAGAUGGACCAAGCCAAGGUUGAGUUAGAUGUGGUAGCCUGUUUUUGUUUCUUCCUAUGAUGGCUUGUCAUUUGUGUAAGAAUUGGUUUUUGGUUUUCGACAUGAAAGAAACAAACGUUAACAAUUUUCAAAAUCAUGGGCCUGGACUUUGCCGGAUUCACUGCACACAUGUU
rnacentral:misc_RNA from 1 species